AAAUGAGGCAAGAUUUGUUGUUCUUAGCCAUGAACACUUCAUUUUGAUUAUGUGUGUAUCUGACAUACUUGAGGUGUAUCUGUUGCUUUUUUGUAUGGACAUCUCAUCAUUGCCUGUUCUUAUCCACAUCUUUUCUUGACCCAGUAACUACUCUUUCAUGGACUCUUUGUGUUUAGGGCUUCCUGUCAAGAAGAGGAACAAAUUAUGAUUUCUAAUAUCUUGGUGGUGGUGGUAGUAAUAAAGAAAAGGAUUUGGGAGAGACAAAGCUGCAUGAUGCUACUACCUUCACAGAUGGGGAUAAUGGAAAGUUUCUGGUGGAAUGUGAGAUGAGCGAGUGAAGGAACAAGAGCCAUUAGAUACCAAAUUCACCUACUUCUCAGUUGUGCCCGGUUCCUGGGACAAUGGCGGUAACGUUGAGCCCCCCUGCAGCCUUGGGAGUGGAGAGCUGCUGCUCCUGAAAGUCUUUCUUCUCCCUACCCUAUUGGAAUACGUCCACAAAACUGAUAAGGGAGGGGCAAUGGAACCCUAGUAUGAAACAAACGACGUGGAGUUCACAAACACUUCCGCCACGAAUGGAGAUCCAGCCGAGGGUUCCGAAGUGAAGUAUCUCAACAGACCAACUUAGAAGAACUAAUUUUGUAUUCCUAAUAAAAAUAAACUCAAAACCAAAUACAAGUAAAGUAAAAUAUGUAAAUUCUGUUCUCUCUCAACUCCGGCUCCAUAACCAGCCUCCAAUUUCAUAUGAAAAUGAGGCUACUUUCUAAUUUUGACAGAUUUUCCUUCCCUCCAGGUGUAGGUUUUAAAGUGGGAGCUAAUUUAAACACGAGAGAUUUUACCCCUAUGUCAAGAACAUCACUUAGUAACAGGUAUCUACGUACAAGCCCAUUGCAAACAAAAUGCUCAUUAAAUCCAUGAUUUUGCUACAAACGUGUCCUUUCCUCCCACGCCCUUCGUGGUCACACUUUUCGAAGACAAGCGGCAAAACCUUGCUUAUUCUGUUUAGUGGGACGGUCCGGGAGAACCUCGCGCCACAGUCCCCAGACAGGUUGGCUGACGACAGCUGGACCCUCCCUCCGGCGGCAGUUCUCGGAAGGAUCGGCGUUGCCUUGGGAACCUCUAUCCCGCGGGAUCCGACUGUUUCCACUUCGGCCCCCAUUUCCGCCCUUUGCUGCCCCCAGGCCUCUCCCCGCCCCCCCAGAUCCCAACCUCCCCUCCACACUUCCCAAAGCACAGACACCCGACCAUACCUGUGCGUCCUCGUCCUCCGUCACCACCCCGACCACCGAGAUUUGGCGAGGGCUGCUGGACCUGUUCCUGCGGCCCGGUUCCGGGACCUCGGAGGUCCCCGCGGCCUCAGCUACCGACAUGGCUGAAGUGGGAGGGAAGGAGGGAUGGGGGGCGGGGGUGGUCCUCCAGUCCUACACAGUUCCCUUAGCCUCAAGACCCACAAAGUCCCCCCCACCAAGAAGAGAAAGCCGCCGGAGAGGCGCUAGGGUCGCGAAAAGCCUCGGGAGUCCGGCAGUGGCCUCGGCCACCACGACGCCACCCUUAUCAAGCCACCGCAGCCCACCGGCGGACUUCUGCUCCCGCGGGCUGGCGGGUUGUUAACAAGCCAGAGCGUUGCUAGGGGCGGGGUCGGGGGCUGCAGAAGCGUCGGCUCCUACGGAAGCCUGGGGAGCCAAACUACCCCAAACCCUAAAUGCACCUCCAAGUUGCGAGUAGCUCAGUUUGGUCGCUGGCGGGAGGGAGGCGGGAGUAGACGACCCCGGAUUGCUGUGAGAAGACAGAAUGAGAUGGUAGUUUGCAGAUUGGCGUUUUGCACUUAAGUACCCAGGUUAAAACUGUCAUAGAAACAACAAAGUCCUUGCUACCUGUGAUGACCUGAAAAUAAAAUGCAGAACAAUCCUGCUAGAGCCUGGGAUUGGGAAGUCCUCACGGGAAGAAAGCCAGGAGGAAAGAAAGGUUUCUAGACCACGUGUUUCGGCAGCAGUGGCAUGCAGAGACCAGAAUUAUGAUGGCCUCGUUCCUGUCAGAACAUGAAGCUUUAAGAGGAAAGUAAUAAUUUUAGAAUCCUUAGCUCAUUAUUAAUGACACCCCUUCGAGUUAUACCAUCUACUACCCAGCUUUUUUCUAAAGCCAAAUUUUAGCACUGCAUAACCACCUACUCUCUGCUCAAUUGCUUGAACCUUAGAUACUUUUUUUUCUAAAGUAAAUAAUUUGUUUUUUCCCUAUAGAAGUUUUUGGUUUUUCUCCCCCUUAUCCUUGGUGGCCUGAGAGGUGGCAGGAACCCACACCUAUACAGUCUCUAGCUCCAGAAAAUUUCUUUUAUUAUUUAUUUUCUCUUUUUAUUUUUUUCAUUCCAUCCUUCUAAAGCUUACAUGAGAGGUAUUUGAAAUCACCCAGAUGCUUUUCCAUGUCCUUAAAUUUUCUUCAACAUUUUCCAUUUCAUGAAUUUUUUCUUUUGUACUGCCUUCUGGAAACCUGUAAAUUAAUCUUCAACUAUAUCUAUUCUGGAAUUCCAUUCUUCCAUUAAUAUUUAAUUUUUUUUCCUUUUUGAAUCCCGAGUGUAAAGAGUUGGCUUAAUUGUAACACCUCAGUUCACAGCACAAUGUUGUUAUCAUUUGUCUGUGUAAGAGUCUUAUUUCAUUCUCUUGUUUUUCAAAACUUCCUCCCUGAUUUGCAUUCCCAUUCUUCCUACCAGUGUUUUUAUUUAAGAUGUUUGAUGUAUGUUCUUAAAUGUGCAUGUAAUUCUGCAUGCCAAAAUAUGUUGUGUUGUCUUCUCUGCAUGCUUUUUUCCUGAACUGAUAGACAGUAUUGUGCUAUGCAGCAUGGCUUUAAAAAAUUUUGCAGUGAAGAUCUAAUUCCAAAGAACUCCAAUUGCUUCUUUUUCUUUUCUUUCUUUUUGCUUUAGAGAGAGAGAGAGAGAGAGAGAGAGAGAGAGAGAGAGAGAGAGAGAAAGCACACAGCAGCUGCAGCCGCCAUGAUGUCUUGUUGCCAGAAGGCUGGAGCUCAAGUUCUUCCUCUCAGUCCUGGAGAUGCUGCCACUAUGCCAUCACGAAAUGCAGUUGAGAGGGCAAGCACUUGAUUGCUGCAACCCAGGGCUGCUUGGUGCUCCAUUUAGAAGGGAGUUGAGCAUGAUACAGCUUCUGUCAUCUCUGCAUGUUAAAACAAUCUUAAGUACAGUCGACUGAGAUCAAUUUUCUGGUUAAUGAUGAAGAUUUAUAGAACAGCAGGAGAAGUUGACUCCUGGUGCUCAUUUAGAGGAAAGCCAACUCUGCUCAAAGGAGGAAGAUAUCUUCAACAGAACAGGAGAAAGCCAACACACGAAAGUACAAGCAAGAAAUGGGGAAAGACACAGAAGAGUCCUGGUGAUAUAUUUUAAGUAUUUAGAGUUCCGGAGACCAGAUAAUGAAUUUUUCAGUCACACAAGCCAAUACAUUUCCUUUUUUGCUUUAGUUUCAAUAGGGUAUCUAUCGCUGGCAUUUUAAAGACUCCUGAGUAAAGCAUAUGCCAAUCAUCAGAUAUUUAUGGAACUCAACUUUAUAAUAGACACUGAGGAAAAAGAAAUGAGACUUUAUGUCUGUUCUGGAGGAGCUCACAGUUUAUUUCCUUAAUAAAUAUUAUUCCAAAUCA